rnacentral:rRNA from 1 species
AUGAACGCUGGCGGCGUGCCUAAUACAUGCAAGUCGAGCGAACAGAUGAGGAGCUUGCUCCUCUGACGUUAGCGGCGGACGGGUGAGUAACACGUGGAUAACCUACCUAUAAGACUGGGAUAACUUCGGGAAACCGGAGCUAAUACCGGAUAAUAUAUUGAACCGCAUGGUUCAAUAGUGAAAGACGGUUUUGCUGUCACUUAUAGAUGGAUCCGCGCCGCAUUAGCUAGUUGGUAAGGUAACGGCUUACCAAGGCAACGAUGCGUAGCCGACCUGAGAGGGUGCUCGGCCACACUGGAACUGAGACACGGUCCAGACUCCUACGGGAGGCAGCAGUAGGGAAUCUUCCGCAAUGGGCGAAAGCCUGACGGAGCAACGCCGCGUGAGUGAUGAAGGUCUUCGGAUCGUAAAACUCUGUUAUUAGGGAAGAACAAAUGUGUAAGUAACUAUGCACGUCUUGACGGUACCUAAUCAGAAAGCCACGGCUAACUACGU